AUAACUAGUUUAGACGUACGUAAUUUAAACAGUACGUUGUGCGCUGUGACAAAAUAAUCGCAAUCAGCUGACACGUGUUGUUCGACAAGCAGUCUGGGAAAAAGUUAAUUCUAUCCAUCCCUGCAUCCCGUUUUUCUACCGAUAUGGGAGGUUUGUUGUCUUCAUAUUGGGGAUAUUCCGGUGAUGACGAAUUAGAUCCGGCCAGCGGUCUGACAGGAAAGCAAAAAAGAUUGGUCACAGAAACGUGGGGGAUCAUGCGACAGGAUCCUAUGAAACUAGGAAUAGCGGUUAUGAUGAGAUUAUUCACCAAACAUCCCGAUUACCGGAGUCAGUUUCACGCCUUCAAAGAUACACCCCACGAAGAUCUACCGAAAAACAAAAGGUUUCAGGCUCACGCAUCGGCCAUCGCAAACGCGUUAAGUACCAUCAUUGAUUCCCUGAAGGAUCCAGGCUUGCUGGAAGCUAUUCUAAUAUCCCUUGGGGAGAAACACCAUAAGCGUGGACAGACGGUAGAACAAUUUAACAAUCUAAAACUGGUACUGUUGGUCGUCUUCAAAGAAUUUCUGGGCUCGAGGUGGACGCCAGAAGUGAAUAAUGCCUGGAGCAAAGCUCUCGACUUCGUGUACAGCAUCAUCUUUAAGGUGUACGCGUAGUGAUUAACCCGAAUAAACAAGGCUGAAGGCCUCGUUCUGCGGGCGCAAUAUGUUGUUGUUAACCAUAACCGACGUUCACGGAGUUUACCGGCGUAGAAGGAAUGACGUUCUUUUUUACAUAGCAAUGUUAUCGCAACAAUUGUUUAUAAUACUGCUACACCUCGAUGUAACUACGGUGGCCUGAAGAACGAUCCCACUUAUAUCGUAAACACAUGACGAUAUCGAGUUGGCACGUUGCUGAGUUGAGAAUCGUAGGAAACGAAUGUGACUGAGGGUUAAUUAUGAUACGAUGGAUAUGCAAUCUGAAGGAAUUUACACGUUUCUUUUUUAUUUAUAUUAAAUGUGGAUUUUAACACAUUAAAAAUAUCCCCUUGACCGGAGCUUUGUGAAAUUCAAACCAGUUCACGAACUGAUUGCUACAGAAUCAAUAAGAAUAUACAUGUUUUCUUCUGGCCUGGAAUUCUCUACAAAUAUACAUGUGCCUAACAAAAUUGCUCAGCUGCGCAUCAAUAUUGUAUUGAAUUUAAGAAUCUUCGAGGGCGUUUAAUAAAGGAAAUUCGAUCUCACUAAAUCUUUGCAUUCGCAUCACCAUGGAGUUUGAUUUUUACACUUACUGUUAUAAAUUAAUUAUUAUUCAUGCAACUUGGCUCGUUCACUGUAAAUAAAAAUAAAUGAGUACAACGG
rnacentral:misc_RNA from 1 species